rnacentral:lncRNA from 1 species
AGUGAUGUUUGAGCCCCAGCAUAGAUCAGCAUGCCAGGAAGCAGCCCACCGGACCCACCCCUGAUCAUGGCACUGGACAUUGUUUUCCGUGCUUUUCUCAGGCUGGUUUCUGCCUGUCCCAACCCUGGCCAUGGCUGACAAGGGGCCCAGGGACACUGGAGCAGAGAGACCUGCUGGUCCUUGGGGUUUCUUGCAAGGUAGGACUCUACAUCCUCCCUUGGGAACUAAUUGAUCUGUCAGUAAAAUGUAAACUUCUGACUCCAUGGGUCUGUGAAUCAGCUGCCUCUAAAGGGAAAUAUCCCAGGAGUGAUGAAAACUUGAAGAUCGAGGAUUGGAUAUAAGCUCAGAGGUGAAGGAGGGAAAUUCCUCGGGUCAACUUUAGCGGACUGAUCCACGGGGUCUGCCAAGAGACAGGAGCUCGAGGGUUAAACCCAAGCACUCGGGAGUCAGAUGUAUGAAUCUGAAUCUCAGCCUCUCGGCUUGCUGUGUAAUCUCAGGCAAGUGACUUUUCUGUUCUGUAAAUCAGGCUGAUAGCGGGGGAACCUCUCUCACAGGGCUGCUACAAAGAUUGCAUGAGAUUUUGCUCAACAAAUAUUAGCUGUUGGCUCCAGAGUUUAAUACCUCUGAUCACUACAAGCUUUGAAGGCAAGAUAAAAUAACUUCAACAUAGUGAAUCAUCUGUGAACACUUCCUGUGAACGUGUGACUAUGAUUAUGGAACACUCUGUUGCAUCAAGAUGGCCAGAGAUUGUCUCAGAGUCCAGGCAGUGGGAGGAGGGGGGAUUUGUUUCCUGGCUGGGUGGUCGUAGGGCAUCAAGGGAUGAGCAGCUUUGGUUGUCUGGGAUUUCAGCAGCUUGAGGGGAGCUGUAGGGCCCCAGAGCUGUCGCUGUGGCUGUGGUGUCAGAAAUGUAAGCAAGGUGCCUCCAUGGAGGUUAGCGAGGGUGCCCCUCUGAAUGCCGGGUGGAAUGCAACCUUUCGCAUGGAGGAGGCCCUCAGCAGCUGACCUCUGUCUUCCCUGUGUAGAGGGAGGGAGGCUGAGGCUGGGGCUGAGCGAGGGGUAAAGUAAGCCACGUGUCUCAUCAGCUAGCCUGCAGCAAGCACAGCCCUCUGGGAGGGCUGGUUCUAUCCUCCUCCUUGGUGUGAAAUCCAUCAAUCUAAUAGGGAUCCUUAUUUUCCCAGCCACCAAGUCACAAUGAGCAAUAAUCUC